GAGGAAUAUUGGUCAAUGGCCUAAGGGCUGAACUGGCAAUUUGGGUAAACGAAACAGAAUUGUAACUUACUAAAAUAAAGUUUUAAGUACGUAUUAAUAAUGAUAAUAUGUAUAAAAGUCUUGACCAAUUACGUGCCAGCAGUCGCGGUAAUACGUAGGAGACGAGCAUUAUUCAUAUUAAAUAGGUUUAAAGGGUACCCAAACGGUCAAAAUACCUGAAAUAUAGGAGUACUUGACUAGAGUUAUAUGUAAGAAGACCGUACUUGAGGUGGAGAGAUUAUAUUUUAUGAUACCAAAAGGACUGAUAACGGCGAAGGCUGUCUUUUAUGUAAUAACUGACGUUGAAGGACGAAGGCAUAGAUAACUAACAGGAUUCGUUACCCUAGUAGUCUUUGCAGACAAUGAUGAAUGCCAUUAACUAGAUACUAAUUUUAGUUAUAUAAAUGAAAAUGAAAGCAUUUCACCUCAAGAGUAAUGUGGCAACGCAGGAACUGAAAUCACUAGACCGUUUCUGACACCAGUAGUGAAGUAUGUUAUUUAAUUCGAUGAUCCCCGGAAAGUUUC
rnacentral:rRNA from 1 species